CCCGCUGAACUUAAGCAUAUCAAUAAGCGGAGGAAAAGAAACCAACAGGGAUUGCCUCAGUAACGGCGAGUGAAGUGGCAACAGCUCAAAUUUGAAAUCUGGUCCCUUUCGGGGCUCGAGUUGUAAUUUGUAGAGGAUGCCUUCGGGUUUGGCCCUGGCCUAAGUUCCUUGGAACAGGACGUCACAGAGGGUGAGAAUCCCGUAUGUGGCUGGUGGUCUAUGCCCAUGUGAAGCUCCCUCGACGAGUCGAGUUGUUUGGGAAUGCAGCUCAAAAUGGGUGGUAAGUUUCAUCUAAAGCUAAAUACUGGCGGGAGGCCGAUAGCGCACAAGUAGAGUGAUCGAAAGAUGAAAAGCACUUUGGAAAGAGAGUUAAAAAGUACGUGAAAUUGUUGAAAGGGAAGCGCUUGCGACCAGACUUGCCCUUGGUUGAUCAACCUGGUGUUCAUCACCGGUGCACUCUGCUGAGGUCAGGCCAGCAUCGGUUUGGGCGGUUGGAGAAAGGCCGUGGGAAUGUGACUUCCUUUGGGGAGUGUUAUAGCCUUCGGUGCCAUGCGACCAGCCUGGACUGAGGACCGCGCCUUUAGUGGCUAGGAUGCUGGCAUAAUGGUCGUGAGCGACCCGUCUUGAAACACGG
rnacentral:rRNA from 1 species